rnacentral:lncRNA from 1 species
UGGAGGUGGGUUAAGGGGUCUUCCGUUCCCGUAUAGAACGGUAUCCGAAGCUGCUGCCCUUCUCGAUCCUGCCGAGAGUCCCGGAUGCGCCUGGUAAAUGGCCCCGGUCGAAGCUUUCCCCACUCUGGCCCCUGGGAGCGGGCGUUGUCGUUCUCCAUUUUCUGGAUUCUUUGAAAAAGGAGUCGUACAGCGGGGUCUCGGCUAGGGAUUUCCUCGGAAUCGAAGUCUUCUGUUCGCC